UAAGGUGAUUCUCCACUAUAAUGUCCUUGAUGAAACUGAAUAUUCUGUUUCAUGAUGUUCAUCAUUCAGGUGGCUGAAUUUGGUUCUCACUCUCCACUUGAGAAGCACCACUGAAGUUUGUCUAUACUGCAGCCCCAUCUGCCCGUGGUUCUGCAUGACUGGAAAUUUGUACUCGGGUGAAGUCAUGUUGGUAUCAAGCCUUUUCCCAGUGGAUACAACUCGGGUUGAUACUUCACGUUUCGGAAAGUCAUAGGAUCACCCCUGCAUGCAGGAAAGGCCCCAUCUUAUUGCCUCUCCUAGGCUGGUAAAACAGCAGGCACGAGUUAGUGGAUCUGGCUGUGAGGAGGGCAGGUGGAGAGCAAUGGGAAGUCUCUGCUUGCUCUUUCACAGUGAUUUGCUUCAGUUGCCAAGCUCUGUUAAAUAAGCAGCCUAUGCACCAAGCAGGAAUUUCACUUGUACAAGGAGGCUUUUCUUUGAACCUUUCCAGGUGGGAAUGUUUUCUAGCACAAGGCUCUUAUUUAAUGCUCACACUGCCCAAAGGCCACAGUCAGCACCUCUGUGCAAACUUCAGAAGACAUAAUCCCUGCCUUAAACACCUCAUGGUCUGAGCCCGCAGCAGUGCCUGAUGUGGAGCGGACUGAGCCUAGCGAAUACCACCAACGUGACAGGUGCCUGUCUUGCUAGGUCCAGUCAUUUCCUUUAUUAAUUCAGUGAAUUUAUGUAUUUACUUUGGGUCUCUGUUGUGUGGCAGGGAAAGGACAGGAGGCUGGAAGCAUGAAGAGUGACAUGGAACAGGAGAGCACUGCAGUGGAAGACAGAAAAUGAGGACCAAGCCUCAUGGAGCAAAAAACAUUCUGCCAAGAAAAUAAAGACUCUAUUAGUUUUCUAGUU